UACGUAGGGCGCAAGCGUUGUCCGGAAUUAUUGGGCGUAAAGAGCUCGUAGGCGGUUUGUCGCGUCUGCUGUGAAAUCCCGAGGCUCAACCUCGGGCUUGCAGUGGGUACGGGCAGGCUAGAGUUCGGUAGGGGAGACUGGAAUUCCUGGUGUAGCGGUGAAAUGCGCAGAUAUCAGGAGGAACACCGGUGGCGAAGGCGGGUCUCUGGGCCGAUACUGACGCUGAGGAGCGAAAGCGUGGGGAGCGAACAGG
rnacentral:rRNA from 1 species